rnacentral:rRNA from 1 species
CCUACGGGAGGCUGCAGUGGGGAAUAUUGGGCAAUGGGCGAAAGCCUGACCCAGCAACGCCGCGUGAAGGAAGAAGGCUUUCGGGUUGUAAACUUCUUUUGACAGGGAAGAGCAGAAGACGGUACCUGUCGAAUAAGCCACGGCUAACUACGUGCCAGCAGCCGCGGUAAUACGUAGGUGGCAAGCGUUGUCCGGAUUUACUGGGUGUAAAGGGAGCGUAGACGGCGAUGCAAGUCUGAAGUGAAAGGCGGGGGCCCAACCUCCGGACUGCUUUGGAAACUGUAUGGCUGGAGUGCGCGAGAAGUAUGCGGAAUGCGUGGUGUAGCGGUGAAAUGCAUAGAUAUCACGCAGAACUCCGAUUGCGAAGGCAGCAUACCGGCGCGCAACUGACGCUCAUGCACGAAAGCGUGGGUAUCGAACAGGAUUAGAUACCCGUGUAGUC